rnacentral:rRNA from 1 species
UGAGCAACCUGCCCUUGACUCUGGAAUAACAGUUGGAAACAGCUGCUAAUACCGGAUAUGACUUUGUGUGACAUCACACGGAGUGGAAAGCCCUGGCGGUCAAGGAUGGGCUCGCGGCCUAUCAGCUUGUUGGUGAGGUAACGGCUCACCAAGGCUUCGACGGGUAGCCGGCCUGAGAGGGCGACCGGCCACACUGGGACUGAGAUACCGGCCCAGACCUCCGUAGGGA